rnacentral:rRNA from 1 species
UAGGGAAUCUUCGGCAAUGGACGAAAGUCUGACCGAGCAACGCCGCGUGAGUGAAGAAGGUUUUUGGAUCGUAAAACUCUGUUGUUAGAGAAGAACAAGGACGUUAGUAACUGAACGUCCCCUGACGGUAUCUAACCAGAAAGCCACGGCUAACUACGUGCCAGCAGCCGCGGUAAUACGUAGGUGGCAAGCGUUGUCCGGAUUUAUUGGGCGUAAAGCGAGCGCAGGCGGUUUCUUAAGUCUGAUGUGAAAGCCCCCGGCUCAACCGGGGAGGGUCAUUGGAAACUGGGAGACUUGGGUGCAGAAGAGGAGAGUGGAAUUCCAUGUGUAGCGGUGAAAUGCGUAAAUAUAUGAAGGAACACCAGUGGCGAAGGCGGCUCUCUGGUCUGUAACUAACGCUGAGGCUCGAAAGCGUGGGGAGCAAACAGG